rnacentral:rRNA from 1 species
CCUACGGGAGGCAGCAGUGAGGAAUAUUGGUCAAUGGGCGCGAGCCUGAACCAGCCAAGUAGCGUGAAGGAUGACUGCCCUACGGGUUGUAAACUUCUUUUAUAUGGGAGUAAAACAGGGUAUGCAUACCCUCUGGUAUGUACCAUAUGAAUAAGGAUCGGCUAACUCCGUGCCAGCAGCAGCGGUAAUACGGAGGAUCCGAGCGUUAUCCGGAUUUAUUGGGUUUAAAGGGAGCGUAGGUGGAUUGUUAAGUCAGUUGUGAAAGUUUGCGGCUCAACCAUAAAAUUGCAGUUGAAACUGGCAGUCUUGAGUACAGUAGAGGUGGGCGGAAUUCGUGGUGUAGCGGUGAAAUGCUUAGAUAUCACGAAGAACUCCGAUUGCGAAGGCAGCUCACUGGACUGCAACUGACACUGAUGCUCGAAAGUGUGGGUAUCAAACAGGAUUAGAUACCCCAGUAGUC